rnacentral:RNase_P_RNA from 1 species
UAAGCAGGCCGGAUAAUCGCUGGUGCCCUUGAGGCACGAGAGGAAAGUCCGGGCUCCACAGGGACAAGGUGCUGGGUAACGCCCAGGCGGAGUGAUCCGACGUCAAGCGCAACAGAGAACAGACCAGCCUAAGCAGGUUUGUUUCACCUCCGACCCUCUCUCUUCUUGGAGGGGGCUGGGGCGAAGGGAACCUGCCGGUGAUGGGUGAAACGGUGGGGGGCGCAAGCCCUUAAUGUAAGAGCCCACCAGCAUCUAUGGUGACAUGGAUGGCUAGGCAAGCACCACCUGGAGCAAGGCCAAAUAGGGGAGCGCUAAGGAGAGUCCCGUCCGAAGCUCCCGGGUAGGUCGCUGGAGGUGCCGGGUAACCGGCAUCCUAGAUGAAUGAUUAUCACCCUAUCCAGGGGACAGAACCCGGCUUACAGGCCUGCUUAAAUA